rnacentral:tRNA from 2 species
GCGGGCGUAGUUCAGUGGUAGAACGUCUGCUUGCCAUGCAGAAGGCCGUGGGUUCAAGUCCCAUCGCCCGCUCCA